AUAGGAUUUGCCUGAUGUAGAUGCCUUUCCCUUAGCUGUACUUCAGGUUCCUUUUAAAAUCAUUGGAGGGAAAGAGGCAACUUUAGGAUGUGAUUCUUUCCCUCUGUUUCACAUGCCUUCUUCAUGGUGAAAUGAAUGGUAGAAAUAUUUUUUCCUACAGUAGGAAACCGGUUAGAGUGUAGACAGGUAUUAUUUAGUGAUCAAAAAUUGUAGUCACCCAGUGUCCUUCAAUGCCACUUAAACACUUCAGUUGAAAAACAAAACAAACUUGAUUAAACAACUGCUGCUGACUAACUGUUUAGUUAUUACUGUACAGUUAAAGAUGUCAUUAUCUCUUAGCUGCAAAUGCAGAUCUUGGAUGCAGAAAUAUUAAGGCAAAAAAUUGCUGUUUUCAGGUGUUAAUAUCUGAAUUAAUGAAGAUGUUAUCAUAGAAUCAUAGAAUGGGUUGGGUUGGAAGGGAUCUGUAAGAUGAUCUAGCCUAGCCCCCUGCUAUAGGCACCUCCAUCUAGAUCAGGCUGCUCACAGCCAUCCAGCCUGGCCUUGAAUGCUUCCAGGGAGAGGGAAUCCACAACCUUGCUGGGCAACCUGUUCCAGUGUCUCACCACUCUCACAGGAAAUAAUUUCUUCCUGAUAUCUAGUCUGAAUAUACCCUCUUCCAGUUUAAAACCAUUUCCCCUCAUCUUAUUGCUACAUGCCCUUGUAAAAAGUCCCUCCUCAGCUUUUCUGUAGGCCCCUUCAGGUACUGGAAGGCUGCUAUAAAGUUCCCCCCCAGAGCCUUCUCUUCUCCAGAAUGAAGAGCUCCAGCUCUCUCAGCCUGUCCUCAUGGGGGAGGUGUUCCAGCCCUCUGAUCAUUUUUGUGGCCUUCCUCUGGACCUGCUCCAACAUCUCCAUGUUCUUGUGUUGAGGGCCCCAGAGUACUGGGCACAGUACUCCAGGUAGGGUGUCACAGGAGCAGGGGGGAAGAAUCACUAUCCUUGACCUUCUGGUCAAGCUUCUCUUGAUGCAACCCAGGAUACAGUUGACCUUCUAGGCUGCAAGUGCACUGUGCCAGCUCAUAUUGAAUUUUUCAUCAACUGACACCCCCAAAUCCUUCCCCUCAGGGCUGCUCUCAAGCCAUUCUCUGCCCAACAUCUAUCUGUGCUUGGGAUUGCCCUGACCCAGUUGCAGGACCUUGCACUUGACUUUGAUGAACUUCAUGAGGUUGGCAUGGGCCCACCUCUGCAGCCUGUCCAGGUCCUUCCAUCCCUUGGAGGUGUUCAAGAAAUGUUUAGAUGUUGUACUGAGGGACAUGGUUUAGUGGGAAAUAUUGGUUAUAGGUGGAUGGCUGGACUGGAUGAUCUUACAGGUCUUUACCAACCUUGGUGAUUCUGAUUCUCCCUGGAUAGUAUUCCUUCCCUCUAGCAUGUCAUCUGCACCACUCAGCUUGGUGUUGUCUGCAAACUUGCUGAGCGUGAGUCUGGUCCCACUGUCCAUGUCACCUACAAGGAUGUUAAAUAACAUCAAUCCCAGCACAUUGGACACUGAGCUGUUAACUGCAACUUUCUGAGUGUAACCAUCCAGCCAAUUCCUUAUGCAGUGAGUGAUCCAUCCAUCACAUUGAUUUUUCUCUAAUUUGGUGACCAGGAUGAUGUGUCAGACAGUGUCAAAUGCUUUGCACAAAUCUAGGUAGAUGACAUCAGUUGUUCUUCCUUUAUCCACUGACACUAUGACUCCAUCAUAAGAGGCCACUACAUUUGUCAGGCAUGACUUGCCCUUGGUGAAGCCAUGCUGGUUAUCAUCAAUCACCUCAUCUUUAUUUUCCAUGUGCCUUAGUAGGGCCUUCAGGAGGAUCUGCUCUGUGAUCUUGCCAGGUGCAGAGGUGAUACUGACUGACCUGUAGUUCCUUGGAUCUUUUUUUUUUCCCUUCUUGAAAAUGGGGGUUACGUUUCCCCUUUUCCGAUCAGUGUGAACUUCACCAGACUGCCACAACCUUUUAAAUAUGAUAAAUAGUGGCUUGGCAACUUCAUCUGCCAGUUCCCUCUGAACCUGUGGAUGGAUCUCAUCAGUUCCCAUGGACUUGUGCACCUUCAGGUUCUUUAGACGGUCUUGAACCUGAUCUUCACUUAGAGUGAGCAGCUUCUUACCAUUGCUUUCUGCAGCUUGGGCAGCAUGAAUAGAGCCUUUGCCAGCGAAGACUGAAGCAAAGAAGCCAUUGAGCACCUUGGCUUUCUCCAUAUCCCUUGUGACCAGGUAUUCAGUUUCCUCCCAGAGAGGGACCCACAUCUUCCCUGACCUUUAAUCACUAAUUAAACCUGUAAUAUUUCUUCUUGUUCCCCUUUAUGUACCUGGCUAGAUUUCAUUCUAUCUAGGUUUUAGCUUUCCUAACAUGAUCCCUAGCUGCUCAGACGACUGUUCUGUAGUCCUCCCAAGUAACCUGCUCCUGCUUCCACUCCCCUGUAGUCCUCCCAGGCAACCUGCUCCUGCUUCCACUCCCUAUAUACUUUAUUUUUCUACUUAAGGAAGUCCAGGAACUCCUAGUUGAUUCAUGAAGGCCUCCUGGCACUCUUGCCUGCCUGCCUGCCUUUUUCUCAGGGUGCAAUGCUUCUGGGCUUGGAGGAGAUGGUCCUUGAAUACUGACCAGCUUUCUUAGGUCCCUCUUCCCUCCAGGGCUUUAUCCCAUGUCACCCUGCCAAGUAGUUCCCUGAAGAGUUCGAAGUCUGUGCUUCUGAAGUCCAGAGUAGCAAGCUUGCUGCACACCCUCUUUGAUGCCGUAAGGAUCUUGAACAACACUGUUUCGUGGUCACUGCAGCCAAAGCUGCCCUUGAGCUUUGCAUUACUCACCAGUCCCUCCUCAUUAGUGAGAACAAGGUCCAGCAUAGCAUUUUUCUCAUGGGUUCAUGUACCACUUGGAAGAGAAAGUUAUCAUCAAUGCAUUCCGGGAACAUCUUCAAUUUCUGGUGCUCUGCUGUGUUGUCCCUCCAACAAGUAUUGGGAUGGCUGAAAUCCCCCAUGAGGACCAUGUUUUGUGAACAUGAAGCUGCUUCUAUCUGUAGAGGGCCUCAUCUGCUUGGUUUUCCAGACCAGGUGGUUGGCCUGUAGCAGACUCCCACUACAGUGUCUCCUUCCCCUGCGUCUUUUAACCCUAACCCAUAAGCUCUCUGUCAGCUCCUCAUCUAUCCCCAGGUGGAGGGUAGACACUAUGCCUCCAAUAGAGCUAUAAAUAUUAAGGAGGUUCUGAAAGAACUGGUUUUCUGUUUUCAAGUCCAUUCUAAACAUGCUACUCAUAGGUAUCACUGGUAAUAUGAGUAUAGUAAAUAUGCUGCUUACAAAACUAGUCAUGUUUUAAAUUUUUCUUGAAAUACUAUCUGCUAGUGCUGGAAAUAGAUUGCUUGCAUAAACAGAUUAAUUAGAAUUUCAGUCUUCCCAACUGGUGUUGGGCGGUGAUCCUCCAAUCAACUUUGUAAACCUGAUGCCCACAUGUUGCGUUGCUUACUGCCCUGCCUACUGCCAAGCAGCAGGGUGGUAUUACUGUGCCUAACUGGAUGUCAGUCAGUAUCUGCCUACCUAGAAGAGCUCCUCUCAGAGCUAAUUUGCUAGCCUGGUGGGUGAUAAAGAUUAAAGCCUCCCUGAUCACCUCAGGGGAGUUUCACUAGGAGCUGAUCCAGAAGUUUUUAAGUUCUGGGCCACGUAUCUGGAUUCCUCUGUAAGGAGGUAGCACAGAUUUCAGGAUUUACAGCAACACACGAUUAAUUUCAAUGCUGUAAGUCGGAUGUGGGCAACCAUUAUAGCUUGUUUAGAUCUGCAGCAUUUGGCAGUCAAACUUUGUCAAACUUGGCAAACAACACUUCGUAAAGUAAAUUCCUAUUGUAAGCAUGUUCACUUGAGUACCUCUGAAAGGCCAGUAUUUCUGGCUAAUUUUUUUGGUUCGUAUUGCAGGUGCAUGAAGAGGCAUGUGCUAUUUUUCUAUAAGGACUCAGUUAACUGGAGUCAUGAGUUGCUUCAUGAUACAGCUGUUUUUCAGCUGGUGGCAUCUUUAAGGUCAGAUGUUCCCAGCAAGCCUGGCAUCAGCCUGGCCUCUUGCAUCCAUUAUUGUGCCCCAUAUACUAGAGUUCAGAAGACUUCUCAAACAUAGAAUCACAGAAUCAUUAAGGCUGGAAAACAUCACCAAGUUUGUCUGCUAAUGGGAUGAGAACUGUGUAGCUUUGUUUACCAAUGAGGCUCUUAAUUUAUGCCUGUGAUGGCAUUCCUUCCAUGCUGUUUUUACUAAAUCUCUCUGGAUCUCACAGUUGAAUAAACUGUUUUAUUCCAAGCCUGCACAAGAGGAAGCAGUCUGAACACUGCAAAAAUACUUUUUCUGUUGAUUUGAUAGCAUUCCAAGUAUCGUUGGUUUUAUGCUGUUGUUGAAUUUACAGUUUGUGCAGCAUGGCCUAACAUGGUUUGUCUUCUGUUGUUUAUUACUGUGUUUCUUUGAUACUGGUAUUGGGUAGUUGACCCUAUCACCACAUCUGAGGUAAGGGACAAGGCCUCAUUCAUUCAACUCAAAACAGAAGGAAGUUUACCUACAAGAUUUGUGCAUUAUUGAGGCGCUUUCUGUCAAAUACCUAUUAACGAGAUCUGCUCCAGCUUCUGUAAUUUGCUAGCCUGCUCUGUAUUUGAUAUGGAGCUGGAGUGGCAAGAGUAUAUUUGAGUGUAGGCAAAACAUGAAGGCAUUUUCCAUUCCUGUUGGUGAGUUAAUAUCGCUAGGUGUUUUUCAUGAGCAUGGUUUCUGUGUUCUUGGGCAUGCCCACAGUAUGGGGGCUGUAGUUAGGGAGAUGUCCACCUGUAAUGGAACUGGUUUUCGUUGAGGAGCCCUCUCCUUGUUCUCCUCUUCUGCAGAGGAACAGCUGCUCGGUGGCUAGGGGAGCUGAGGAAAACUUGUGUGUGUGUUUCCUUUCAGCUGGCAUCACUGUAAGACAGGUUAUGAAAAGGGACGUACUGUAAAUACAUAUACAGUGUCAUUCUACAACGAUUUAAUGAUGGAAACUUGUAUGCAAGCUUUUAUUUUUAAAAGUAAUUUACUGCUCCUAUCUCUUCUGUUACACCAGAAUAGCUGUCAUUUCACCUGGUGCUCCUGAGAUCAGCAGUGCUAAUGCUCUAUUGUAAUAUUGUCCUGAGUAUCCAUGGUGAUGACGAAAUUUAACCUCUGUCUGUAGCCAGUGCUGCCCUGGAGGAGUUUGUGACAUCCUUUAAGUUGCACUGGUGUCAUACUGUGGCUUUGGUAGAACAGCUUUCUGAUGUCAGGAAACCAGGCUCCUCCAAGUUCAUGGACAUUCCAGCAGCAAAACUCGGAGUUCUAUGAGCUCUGAGAUGGUGGUGGUGAGGAAAAUAAGUGUAGAGGUCUAAGAGGGAAAAUAAAUGUAUGCUAGGUAGUUGCAAUGACCCAUGCACUCAAAAAUUCAGUUUCUUCCUUCCUCUUUAAAAAGAACAGCAGAAUCAUUCUCUUAAAGAACUGAAAAUAAUUACAAAUUGUGGUAAUACUAAUGAUAGGUGUAAUACAGAAGAAACCCACUAUUUCAUAUCACUUGAUAGGAAACCUAACUUGCCAUUUUAAUAUUUCACUACUUAGUUAUACCACCUCAUUGUACUAUAAUGCUUUCUGAUUUGUUUGGCCAUUAGAUAAAUAAUGUGACUUCAUUUAAAUUACCAAAAUGUGAAGAAGUGUUAAACCGUGUUCUCCACUCUGAAGAGUAAUGGAAGAAGGCUGCUGUAUUAUCUCUGGAUUAAAUACAUUAUUUCAGCACUAUAAAGAUAAACCUUGUGUCUUGGACAGUAGUUACCAAGUAGGCAUUCUUUAACACCUGGAACAUCUGGAUCAUGUUGACUUUUUUUACCAUGGCAAAAAGGGUGAAUGAAAUACAAUUCCUGCUUUCUGAGUUCAUAAGCAUUUCUUCAGUCUCAUGGCAGCUGGAGAUCCCAAUCCAUAAGUAUAUAUAUACGUAUGUUACAGAUAUUAUGUGUUUUUUAAAAAGAAUUGACAGAGCUUACUCUAAAGUGACUUCUGUGUCAAAUUGAGUAGAUGAACGAAUUAUUUUCAUGUUCAGACUUCUUUGUUAGUGAUUAUUUUAAGCAAAAUAGAAAAUGUUGAUGUUCUAAUGGGAUAUAUUUGUAUCAGAAUAAAUAAAUAAUUGGCAAUUACUUAUAAAUAGCUUAAGCUGUUUUAUUUUCAUCUUUUGUGGUUAUCUGUAUUCAUAACUUUUUCUUUGAUCUGUAUAUGUUUGCUUUUCCUAAGUGGUUUUAAUGUUUUAUUAUAAUAUUCUUAAUAUGAUAUAAGCUUCAAUGAUACAAUGAUCAAUAAACUGUAGUAGGCUGGUUCUGGGACAGAAAAAAAAGCUAUGCUAAAUUUUAGUCUGAAUUUUAGGCCACUUGUUAUGUUUUAAAAGAAAGAACUUGCAUUAAAAAUAGUUUGACUGAUUUAUGUGGUGGAUUAGACUGGAUUUAGUUGCUUUGAAAUCUAGUAAUCAGAUAAAGUUCUGCACAAAGCAGCUGCAGCUCUUUGCACUGGUGCUUGUGGUAUUGGACCAGCUUGAGGUCAGUGAUCAAGAUGAAGGUACAUUUCAAAGGAUUUCCCUUGGGAAUGAACGCCAAGCACUGCUGAUGGAUCAAAAGCGCUGGUCUGUGGCAAUGAAAAGAGCAGAGGCUCUUACUGUCAUGGAAGUACAGACUGUUUGCAAUAGCACUUGGCAUCUCUCAUAAAGUGCAUGGCUAUCAGGGCAAGUAAAAGCAUGACAGCCACUCUUACUUCUUUCAAAAGCCUGUGUUACAUGCUUAAUCUUCUGGGCAGAAUUAUUUAACCAGCUGUGGCGCUUCUCUUUCAUGUCUGGAUGGGGAAGCCUGAGCACUGAUGUAGGCUUUCUGAGUGUGAAACAGGUCCAUUUACCCUGACAGUGGAACUGAUUCAGCUUUGCUGAAGUGAAUGUCUUCAUCAGUGGGGCUGUUGCUGGCAUUGCUGCUGGGUGCGGUGGAUAUAGGCAGAGGGAGAGGGUGAAGUCUUCUACAGUGGUGAAAGUAGGGCUUUUGCUGCUGCUCCGGAGCAAAGAGGGGAGUUUUCCUACCCAGUUCCUAUAUCUGUCCCAGACAGCAGCCAUGUCUAUUGGCUGGACUUUGUAUUAUUCAUAUUCACCUCUGCUGAGAUACAGUUUCUUUGUGAUAAAAUCAUGUGCAUUCCAGCCUAGGAUCCAUUGAAACUUGUAGGCAGGCACACACAAGUAUAAGGCAAUAAAGCUGUUUAGUUUAAGUUUUUCCUUCUUUACAUCAAUUUAAUGGAGAAAAGAGUUGGCUUACCUUUUCUCCUAGUUCAAAACAACAGAAUGAGCUUGCUGGCAUGUGUACAUCUAGAGAAUGCAGCAAGUCGUGUUCAGUGGGGUUGAUGCAGGCCUGUAAAAGGAAAGUCUCGACAGCUUCUGUUAUUGCAGCUGCUAUUUCCAGAAACUUCUGUGAAGAAGUAACUGCCAAGUUUUGGCAUUUUAUUGCAUAGGAGAGUUAGGCAUUAUACAAGAUAGGACAAGUGGGAAGAAGACAGAAUACAAACCUAAGAGUACUUCCUCAGUGCUACCUAUGUAUUUUUAACCUCCUCUAAAAACUGAAGUGAUUGUGUAUUAGUGUUGGUGAUGAACUUCUAAUACUUGCAGAAAUUUUCCUUAUAGGCACUCUGACUUCUUUAACUUCAUGGGAUGCUCAGUUGUACCUUGAAUUUGUUGUGCUGUAGCAAACAUACAAGGGGGCAGCAGACCUGAGUGAUCCAGCAGUACUCUUGUUGUCUGCAGUUAUGUUUUAGAAAGCACCGAUACAGGAUGAGUAGUAGCUGUGCUUAAUGAUGAGUGUAACAGGCAUUAAAUGUAAUUAAUACCAAUUAAACAAUUCUAGGAGAAGAUAGUUUUAAUAUGUUUUGCAGGCAUAGGGUGACAAUCCCAAAGAACUGCUUAGAAAGACUUAUGCCAGUGUGCAGGAAGGUGAUCAUAAAUAGCUGUUUAUAUCUUGGCACUAUUAGAACUUGAGCAUCUUGGAGUUUCUGUGACUGUAUUGUAAGGGAGGGUUCCCAUUGUAUUAGAUAUUUUUGUUCUCUUUGCUGGUUCUUCUUUCCUUGUGACUAAUGUGGUGCUCUGGGAUUUACCUCAGUGAACUUGGGGACUGCUUUCUCAAAAAGCACUUGUAAAAUUACACCAAGAUGGGAGCAAAUUCAUCUGUAAAAUCACAAAAAUCCAUUUUUGUAUUUGAAGCCCUGAUGAUAGCAGUAUGAAUUAGCAGUGAGAACAUUAGUAGCAUUCUGAUGCCUCAGUUAGAUCAGUUACAGCUGAACUGUGCAGAGCUGCAGCUGCUGCUGUUCUGUGGAUGACCAUAACCAAAUGAAGAAAAAGGAAACAAGUAGAGUGAAGGACAAGUAGAUGUGAUACCAGUGGAGACUCAGACUGCAGUAACAUGCAAAAAUCAAAACUUCAAAAGAAGGAGGAAAUCGAACUGAUGUGUUUCUUGGCGAGGCAUCACAGACCUCCAGGAAAAUCUGUGCCCUUCCAAGACACCAUCUAACCACAAAGUCUGCUUCAGAAGCAUGCCAGCCCUUGUAGAGCACAGAAAAAAAAGAGAUAUCAGGAGCCAGAGUUACAUUCCAGAGUUGUAUUUACAAGCAUUUAGAGUAUAAUCCUACUGAAUUUGGAUAAAUAAAUGAGUUAGAUAUUCACAACAUUGUCUGAGAUUUACAGCUUCAGAAAGGUCAAUUACCUCAUUUUCUAAACUACAUACAAUACAAUUCUCCAGCUACUUCGCAGUCUCAUUUGCCAGGCAUUUUUUCUGACAAUCAUCUUAGACAUUAAGUACGAGCCCUCCAUACUCUUGUACCAAUCUCACUUGCUUGAACCUGUGUACAGAGGUGUGUCAUUCUGAUACCUACAAGGAAGCUGCUCUCAUGGUAGGGAUGCGGAAAUACUUCAUAGCAACUCUGUUUUGCCUGUGAUUUAAACUCCUUCUGAGGCUAUUGGAGACUGUAUGGAAACUGUUGAAUCACGGCCUGAACCUCUGAUUGACCACCUGAGGAGAGCGCUGAGUCAGCCACAGGGGCACAGGUGAACGCAAUUUCACCUCAGUGACUGGAUGGGGUGGAGCCUGGCUCCAGCCCUCCUAGACCCCAUUUAAGGGCUGACUCCCAAGAAGGAAAGACAUCUAUCUGGAGAUCAUUUUUCUUGGAGCCCUUCUGCAAGCCCAGGACACAGGCAAGAGAAGAUUGGAUCCUGAGUGGGCACCAGGCACUGCUAUACUUCCAGCACCUAGAAUUGCUGGACCAGCAGCUGAAGAUCAAGGAAAAAAAAAAAUAGUGUCAUCUCAAGGAUCUUUCAGAUUCAUAUACUAGGAGAGCAGCAAAUGAUUUAACACAGGCUUUAGGAUGGAAGGUUUUUUUAAUAUUUACAUUACUUCAUUAGUUCCCAGAAAGUAUGUGAGGAACAUCUGGUACGAGCAUAAGGGACUGCAAAGCUUUCUAAGGUGUGAGGGUUUAUGUAAUAAAUCAAUACAUUCAUGUGGCAUAUAAUCAGAAAGCACAAAUUUAAGUUUCAUCCCCACACUGAAUGGAAAAUUUCUACAGCUGUCAAGGAGAAGAAUGAGCAGUAAGCCUUCACAAAUUCAUUAGAAAAAGCAGGCAGCAUUUUUAUAUGAGCUAACUAGGAAAAAAAAUUCUGGAAAGCUGAAAGUUAAGGAAAGUGUGCUAACUCAUGCUAGACUGAAAAUACCAUAUCCAUCCA
ensembl:lncRNA